rnacentral:rRNA from 1 species
CGAAGCGUGCGAUUGGAUUGCACGUCUAAGCAGUAAGGCUGAGUAUUAGGCAAAUCCGGUACUCGUUAAGGCUGAGCUGUGAUGGGGAGAAGACAUUGUGUCUUCGAGUCGUUGAUUUCACACUGCCGAGAAAAGCCUCUAGAUAGAAAAUAGGUGCCCGUACCGCAAACCGACACAGGUAGUCAAGAUGAGAAUUCUAAGGUGAGCGAGCGAACUCUCGUUAAGGAACUCGGCAAAAUGACCCCGUAACUUCGGGAGAAGGGGUGCUCUUUAGGGUUAACGCCCAGAAGAGCCGCAGUGAAUAGGCCCAAGCGACUGUUUAUCAAAAACACAGGUCUCUGCUAAACCGUAAGGUGAUGUAUAGGGGCUGACGCCUGCCCGGUGCUGGAAGGUUAAGAGGAGUGGUUAGCUUCUGCGAAGCUACGAAUCGAAGCCCCAGUAAACGGCGGCCGUAACUAUAACGGUCCUAAGGUAGCGAAAUUCCUUGUCGGGUAAGUUCCGACCCGCACGAAAGGCGUAACGAUUUGGGCACUGUCUCAACGAGAGACUCGGUGAAAUCAUAGUACCUGUGAAGAUGCAGGUUACCCGCGACAGGACGGAAAGACCCCGUGGAGCUUUACUGUAGCCUGAUAUUGAAAUUCGGCACAGCUUGUACAGGAUAGGUAGGAGCCUUUGAAACGUGAGCGCUAGCUUACGUGGAGGCGCUGGUGGGAUACUACCCUAGCUGUGUUGGCUUUCUAACCCGCACCACUUAUCGUGGUGGGAGACAGUGUCAGGCGGGCAGUUUGACUGGGGCGGUCGCCUCCUAAAAGGUAACGGAGGCGCUCAAAGGUUCCCUCAGAAUGGUUGGAAAUCAUUCAUAGAGUGUAAAGGCAUAAGGGAGCUUGACUGCGAGACCUACAAGUCGAG